rnacentral:ncRNA from 1 species
GAAAAAGCAAAUAAGAGCGAACGGUGGAUGCCUAGGCUCUGGGAGGCGAAGAAGGACGUGAUAAGCUGCGAUAAGCUUGGGGGUGGUGCAAAUAACCUAUGAUCCCAAGAUUUCCGAAUGAGGCAACUCAGCAUAGUGAAGCUAUGUUAUCCUAUUAAAUAGGAGGCAAACGUGGGGAACUGAAACAUCUAAUUACCCAUAGGAGAAGAAAACAAAAGUGAUUCCGCAAGUAGUGGCGAGCGAACGCGGAACAGCCCAAACCGUUUAUGUAGCAAUGCAUAAGCGGGGUUAUAGGACUGCGAUAUUUGGAUUAAAAAAGAAUUAGAAUCGUAAUGGAAAUUUGAACCAUAGAGGGUGAAAGUCCCGUAUAAGUAAUUUUUUAAUUUGAUAGCAGUAUCCUGAGUAGUGCGGGACACGAGAAAUCCUGUAUGAAUUUGGCGGGACCAUCCGCUAAGGCUAAAUACUCCCCAGAGACCGAUAGUGAACCAGUACCGUGAGGGAAAGGUGAAAAGUACUUCGAAUAGAAGAGUGAAAUAGACCCUGAACCCGUUCGCUUACAAGCGGUUGGAGCGGAGCGAUUCCGUGACAGCGUGCCUUUUGCAUAAUGAACCUACGAGUUACUUUCACUGGCAAGGUUAAGCAUUUCAGGUGCGCAGCCGAAGCGAAAGCGAGUCUUAACAGGGCGCUAAGUCAGUGGGAGUAGACGCGAAACCAAGUGAUCUACCCUUGAGCAGAUUGAAGGUUGGGUAACACCAACUGGAGGAUCGAACCGGUAUACGUUGAAAAGUGUUCGGAUGACUUGAGGGUAGGGGUGAAAGGCUAAUCAAACUUGGAGAUAGCUCGUACUCCCCGAAAUGCAUUUAGGUGCAGCGUUUACAAAGUUUACAUGAGGUAGAGCGACUGAUUGGAUGCGAGGGCUUCACCGCCUAUCAAGUCCUGAUAAACUCCGAAUGCAUGUAAAUGAUUGUGAGCAGUGAGGGCGCGGGUGCUAAGGUCCGCGUCCGAGAGGAGAAGAAUCCAGACCAUCAGCUAAGGUCCCCAAAUAUAUGCUAAGUUAAAUUAACGAAGUCGAACUGCACAGACAGCUAGGAUGUUGGCUUGGAAGCAGCCAUUCAUUUAAAGAGUGCGUAACAGCUCACUAGUCGAGCGGUUUGGCGUGGAUAAUAAUCGGGUAUAAGCAUAUUACCGAAGCUAUGGAAUUCCGUUUUACGGAAUUGGUAGGGGAGCAUUCUUGUCAGCGUAGAAGGCAUAAGGACAACUUAUUCUGGAGCGUCAAGAAAAGCAAAUGUAGGUAUAAGUAACGAUAAGGGAGGCGAGAAACCUCCCCGCCGGAAGACUAAGGAUUCCUGAUCAACGCUAAUCGGAUCAGGGUUAGUCGGGGCCUAAGGUAUAGCCAAAAGGCGAAGCCGAUGGAAGAACAGGUUAAUAUUCCUGUACUACUUAUAAGAGUGAAGUGGGGACGGAGUAGUGAAAGUCCUGCGCACUGACGGAAUAGUGCGUUGAAGGGUGUAGAUAUUGACGGGAGUAGGCAAAUCCGCUCCUUGAGUCGAACCUGAUAGUACCAAGAGCACUUGUGCAAUUGGAUAUGGAUGUAAACAGACUCCCAAGAAAAUCCGCUAAACGUUAAUCUUAUAAGUACCCGUACCACAAACGGACACACGUGGUCAAGUAUAGCGUACUAAGGCGCUCGAGUGAUUCACAGCUAAGGAACUAGGCAAAAUAGUCAUGUAACUUCGGGAAAAAUGACGCCUCACAUAACAAUGAGGCCGCAGAGAAAUGGCCCAGGCGACUGUUUAACAAAAACAUAGGGCUAUGCAAAAUCGAAAGAUGAAGUAUAUGGCCUGACACCUGCCCGGUGCUGGAAGGUUAAGAGGAGAUGUUAGCGUAAGCGACGCAUUGAAUUGAAGCCCCAGUAAACGGCGGCCGUAACUAUAACGGUCCUAAGGUAGCGAAAUUCCUUGUCGGGUAAGUUCCGACCUGCACGAAUGGCGUAACGAUCUCCCCGCUGUCUCUGAUGUGGACUCAGCGAAAUUGAACUGUGUGUCAAGAUGCACACUUCCCGCGGUUAGACGGAAAGACCCCAUGCACCUUUACUCCAGCUUUGCACUGGUAUCAGGAUUGUGAUGUG